rnacentral:rRNA from 1 species
AGAGUUUGAUCCUGGCUCAGGAUGAACGCUAGCGACAGGCCUAACACAUGCAAGUCGAGGGGCAACAUGGUAUCAGCUUGCUGAUACCGAUGGCGACCGGCGCACGGGUGAGUAACGCGUAUGUAAUCUACCUGUAACAGAGGGAUAACCCGGAGAAAUCCGGACUAAUACCUCAUAGCACAUAUUAUUCGCAUGAAUUUUAUGUUAAAGAGACUCGGUUACAGAUGAACAUGCGUUCCAUUAGCUGGUUGGCGGGGUCACGGCCCACCAAGGCAACGAUGGAUAGGGGUUCUGAGAGGAAGGUCCCCCACACUGGUACUGAGACACGGACCAGACUCCUACGGGAGGCAGCAGUGAGGAAUAUUGGUCAAUGGGCGGAAGCCUGAACCAGCCAAGUCGCGUGGAGGAAGACGGCCCUACGGGUUGUAAACUCCUUUUACCUGGGAAUAACGGGCGCUACGCGUAGCGCUGUGCAAGUACCGGGAGAAUAAGCAUCGGCUAAUUCCGUGCCAGCAGCCGCGGUAAUACGGAAGAUGCGAGCGUUAUCCGGAUUUAUUGGGUUUAAAGGGUGCGUAGGCGGAAGGAUAAGUCAGCGGUGAAAUGCUUCAGCUCAACUGGAGAAUUGCCGAUGAAACUGUUUUUCUAGAGUAUAAAAGAGGUAUGCGGAAUGCGUGGUGUAGCGGUGAAAUGCAUAGAUAUCACGCAGAACCCCGAUUGCGAAGGCAGCAUACUGGGCUAUAACUGACGCUGAAGCACGAAAGCGUGGGUAUCGAACAGGAUUAGAUACCCUGGUAGUCCACGCCGUAAACGAUGAAUACUAACUGUUUGCGAUAUAAUGUAAGCGGUACAGCGAAAGCGUUAAGUAUUCCACCUGGGGAGUACGCCGGCAACGGUGAAACU